ensembl:ribozyme Gm24943 predicted gene, 24943
GACAGUGGAAGCUCAUCAGUGAGACCACGCAUUGUCACUCGUCACUCCAUGGGCCCUGGGAAGGUCUGAGACUGGAACCUCUGGCAGCCCUAACAGGGCUCUCCAGGAGAGAAGAGGUGAAUUCCCAGAGAGUAGGACUCCCCAUGCGUGGGACAGCUGAGCAGGAGUGACCCCUAAUGGACAGAUGCCUUCCUCACUGGAACUUGGAACAAAAUGUCUCACAAACAAACAAACAAACAAACAAACAAAAACUAGAAGAAAAUAAAUAAUGCUGGACUUUAGACAUUUGACAUACAAUAAAUGAACUAAAGAUCAACAAUGGUGAAAGGAAUUUUUAAAUUUUUUUAUUUGUUAUUUUAUUUAUUUACAUGUCAAAUGUUAUUCCCCCUCCCAAUUUCCCCUCCGGAAAUAUCCUAUACCACCCUCUUCCCCCUGCU